GGAAGUAAAAGUCUAACAAGGUUUCCGUAGGUGAACCUGCGGAAGGAUCAUUCAUAAUAAGUGUUUUAUGGCACUUUUUUAAAUCCAUAUCCACCUUGUGUGCAAUGUCAGGGUUGAUUUUUCUCUCGAGAGGAUCAACCCCAAACAUCAACUAUAUCUCAACUCUUUGUCUGAAAAAUAUUAUGAAUAAAACAAUUCAAAAUACAACUUUCAACAACGGAUCUCUUGGCUCUC
rnacentral:misc_RNA from 1 species